rnacentral:rRNA from 1 species
ACAGCAGUAGCCGCGGUAAUACGUAGGGUGCAAGCGUUAAUCGGAAUUACUGGGCGUAAAGCGUGCGCAGGCGGUUAUAUAAGUCAGAUGUGAAAUCCCCGGGCUCAACCUGGGAACUGCAUUUGAGACUGUAUGGCUAGAGUGUGUCAGAAGGGGGUAGAAUUCCACGUGUAGCAGUGAAAUGCGUAGAUAUGUGGAGGAAUACCGAUGGCGAAGGCAGCCCCCUGGGAUAACACUGACGCUCAUGCACGAAAGCGUGGGGAGCAAACAGGAUUAGAUACCCCCGUAGUCCCUGUCUCUUAUAA